UACAGAGGUCUCAAGCGUUGUUCGGAUUCAUUGGGCGUAAAGGGUGCGUAGGCGGGCAGGUAAGUCAGUGGUGAAAUCUCCGAGCUUAACUCGGAAACUGCCGUUGAUACUAUUUGUCUUGAAUAUUGUGGAGGUAAGCGGAAUAUGUCAUGUAGCGGUGAAAUGCUUAGAUAUGACAUAGAACACCAAUUGCGAAGGCAGCUUACUACACAACGAUUGACGCUGAGGCACGAAAAGCGUGGGGAGCAAACAGG
rnacentral:rRNA from 1 species